UGAAGCCGAGAGCGCCUAGUCUGAGGUCCCUUCACUGUUAGCGCGGGUUAACAGCUUCCGGAACUCAAAAGUUAGUCGACCUCGAGAGCAGUCCGGGAAGUAAGCGGCUUCCCGCUUGUGCCCAGUGGUUCCUGGCUUAACGCACGCUAACGCAGAACCCUCCGCUGACAGCGGCAGGCACCGGUCCCCGGCUGGUCACUCAACCGGCCGCCUGCACCGGGGGCCAGAGCUGUUCCGCGGCGGCGGGACCGAGUUCCAGACGCAGGGCGCCGCCCGGCACCAGAGGAGGAUCGCAGCAGAAAAGAUGCUGAACCUGGACUCUCCAUCUGACUUUGGCUUUGACUUACCCAUAAGAUCCUGACUCUGGUAUCUCUCUUCCAAGGACAGAAGAGCACAGCUGACUGACAAGCUGCACUUGGACCUGAUGCCCUACACAUCUGCUGGACUAAGCGCUGUGGUGUUUUUCCUUGCAAACUGACCAAAAGAAGCUUCCAGAAGAAACCAUCUACUACAAGGGGAGGGAAGGUGAGGCAACGAGGAGAGGAGGUAGCUUCAGAGACCUGGAUCUAUGAAGACCUCCCAUCCUGCCUGCCAUCUCGCUCCUAACACCUGACUUGGUUUACCUAACGGGUGGUCAGGUCUCCAUUUGCUGUCGGCUCCUCCAGUUUUCCCAUGAUUCCAUUCUCGCUCAGUUUUGAUCUCCUCUCUGUGGUUUCCUCACUCCAGGGGCUGUGGAUGCUUCAGCUCCACUGUGCUUAGGAGAGGAGGCUCUGAAGCCAGAUGGCCUGAAUUCCAGCCCAGCUCCACAGCUUAUACACAGAGCGACCCUGAGAUGGGCUCUGGUGGCCUCACUCUCCUCAUCUCUAAAGAGAGAGCAAUAGAAGUUCAAGCCUCAUUGAGCUGUCCUAUGAGUUAAGGCCAACUUCUCUUGUAAAGUUGUUUAGAGCAGUACUUGAAAGACUAAGUGGUCAGUGUGUUGGCUAUUAUUACGAUUAUUUCCAAAUGGCUUGGAGAGUCACAGGGUGGUAAAGCCCUGAGAAGCUUUUAUUUCCUAGGAAAAGGCUGGAGGUAAGUGGCUUGCCAAAUAUGGUCAUUAAGAUAUUCACUUUCUAUGCUAGGGAACUCCUAAAGCACAGGAGGCAUGCACAACACACACACAAAAGCCCUAGCACACACAGAUAUACACAAUGUGCACACAUGGAUUCAUCCAUGCUGCCAUAUUCAUACACAGGUACACGUGUGCAUAACUCUAGGAAUAGCCUGGGGCAGAAUCUCCAAUCAAGUUCCACGGAGGGUGGCAGGCUUCACUUGGCUUCGCU
rnacentral:lncRNA from 1 species